rnacentral:sRNA from 1 species
UGAAUACUCCAGAGGGUCCCCCAAACAAGU